AUUGAACGCUGGCGGAAUGCUUUACACAUGCAAGUCGAACGGCAGCACGGACUUCGGUCUGGUGGCGAGUGGCGAACGGGUGAGUAAUGUAUCGGAACGUGCCCAGUCGUGGGGGAUAACGUAGUGAAAAUUACGCUAAUACCGCAUACGAUCUAUGGAUGAAAGCGGGGGAUCGCAAGACAUGCCGCGAUUGGAGCGGCCGAUAUCAGAUUAGGUAGUUGGUGGGGUAAAGGCCCACCAAGCCAACGAUCUGUAACUGGUCUGAGAGGACGACCAGCCACACUGGAACUGAGACACGGUCCAGACUCCUACGGGAGGCAGCAGUGGGGAAUUUUGGACAAUGGGCGAAAGCCUGAUCCAGCCAUGCCGCGUGCAGGAUGAAGGCCCUCGGGUUGUAAACUGCUUUUGUACAGAACGAAAAGGUUUCUACUAAUACUAGGAGCUCAUGACGGUACUGUAAGAAUAAGCACCGGCUAACUACGUGCCAGCCGCCGCCGUAA
rnacentral:rRNA from 1 species